AUGGAUUCAAAAACCAAGAGGCAACGCUACACACGGCAGUGGAAAUAUGCACGGAGAUCACUGCAUGAAAGGUGUAUUGGAGAGGAGUCAUCAGUUCAUCCAGUAUCACUUCAAGAAAGAAUUAAUGAAGAAAAUUACACUGAAGACAUCUCAAGUGUUACUGAAAGUGUAGAAAUUUUGGUCAGUGGGGAGAGCUGCAGUUCAGGACCUGACAGUGUGGCCGAUGUGUCCAGUGAGGAAAACUGCAAUUCAGAAACUGAGGAUGAAAACAAAGUGGCCCAAACUUCACUCUCAACAUUUUUACAAGAAUGGGCAACAAAACACCUCAUUAAGCAUAAUGCCCUAGAUGAUCUCCUUGAAGGACUUAAAAAAAAUGGACACCCAGAGCUUCCAUCAACAGCAAGGACAUUGCUGAAAACUCCAAGACUCAUUAAAUCAGUGGUAAAAUCAGGAAUGGAGUGUGUCCAUUUUAAUUUAAGAGAGAGCCUUCUUGAGCAGCUGCAGCGCUAUCCAAGAGAGAUUACAGAAGGAGUUAGCACAUUGGAGCUAUCAUUUAAUAUAGAUGGCCUGCCUAUUUUUAAAAGCAGCAAAACCUAUCUUUGGCCCAUCCUCUGUGCCAUUCACCUGCCACCCAUCAGUGUCUUUCCUGUCACACUGACACUCGGUCCCACCAAACCAACAAAUUUGGAUUUUACUGAAGAAGCCAUAAAGGACAUUCAGGAACUUCUGGACAAUGGUUUGGAUGGAAAAGAAAUAAAAAUCAGAUGUGUUGUGUGUGACGCACCCGCAAGAGCCAUGGUAAAAAUGAUCAAACAGUAUUCUGGGUACUAUGGGUGUGAUAAAUGCACACAGAAGGGCACAUGGGUGGUUGGACGCGUGACCUACCCAGAGGUUGAUAACCUCACUUUACGAAGCAAUGACACAUUUCGCGCUGAAAUGACUAGACGUCAAGAAAAUGAGGACACUCCUGUGUCCCCCUUUUUGAGCCUCCCACUAGACAUGGUACAACAAUUCCCAAUUGAUUACAUGCACCAAGCUUGCCUGGGAGUAAUGAAAAAACUAAUAACAGUGUGGGUUAGAGGAGACAGGAAAGUGAGAAUGUCUGCUGGGCAAAUAAGUAAUGUGACCCAAAGGCUGCUGUCACUUCGAAAGGUCAUUCCCAGCUGUUUUGCCCGGAAACCUAGAAAUCUGGAAGACGUUGACAGGUGGAAGGCAACCGAACUGCGGCAGUUUGCUGUUUACACAGGAAAGAUCGUGCUUAAAGGAAUUCUGGCUGACCAGCUAUAUGAUCACUUCAUGGUGUACAAUGUACAUUCAAUGGUGCAUUUACCAGAGGAGGCAAUGGCUUUUGGCAGUCUUGAUGCUUGCAGUGCAUUCCCUUUUGAAAAUUAUCUUGGGAAGCUGAAACAACUUGUAAGGUCAGGAAAGCAGCCACUUACUCAAGUGGUGAAACGGCUAGAGGAGAUGUCAAAAUCCCCAUUGUCUGUGGAGGUCUCUGAGCCCAAAUUCAAAAGGCCUAAUAAUGCUUUCAUACUUGAUGAAGGUAAAUGCUGUGAGGCCAUUGAAGAGAGAGAGUCGGAUGACGGUUGCCAGAUGCUGCUGUGCAAGCUUUUUGAGAAAACAGAACCACUUUUCAGAGAUCCAUGCGACUCAAGAAUACUUGGAUGCUUCAAAGUGCAAUCAAGGCAUGCUGUCAUGAAGCUCAUACCAAAACGGCAACUGACAAGAAAAGCUAUAAUGGUGGAAAAAAGUGAAGAGACUAUCUUCUUAGCAAUCCUGCAUGUGCACAGAUAA
ensembl:lncRNA